UUGUUUGAAUCGAGGAGUUGAACCUGUAUAAAGCCGAACUCUGAAGAGUUGAACCUACACCGAAAAUGUGGAACAUCACUAUGAGAGCUUUUGGAGAGGGGCUGGAACUAGAACAAAAGGAGAUGGAAUCUCGUGUCUACCAUGUUCUCUUUUUGGUAUUGUUUAUAUGGUUUUCUGUUCUCGUUCUUGUGCGUCUGUGGAUUGAUGGUCAGUUUAUAGAGGAGUACCAGAAUCAUGUGGAAUGAGGCUGCUGAGGAGGAGAAGAAGAAAGUCAAUGGUGAAAGGGCAAAAUGGCUUGUUUUGGGUCCUGAAUAUAUUUUUUGUUCAUUUCAUGAAGGUUUGCUACUCAGUUGAAAAUAAAGAAUACUGUAUACUGAUGUAAAUAAAGAAUACUACUACUCUGAUAUUUGGAACGUCAUAA